rnacentral:ncRNA from 2 species
AAGCCAUCCAGAGCGGCCGAGAGUCCUGGCUCGACGACGCCGCAGCAACCCGUUCUCCGACGGAAGCCUCCCGAGGACGAAGGUGCUCAACACCAGGCCCGAUGGAGU